GCUGGCUCCCGAGACUCAGGCCCUGCACGAGAUGCCAGUCACUCGCUGAAGGCUGGCUCACCUGGCCAAAGCCGUCGGACCCCGAGACCCCAAAACCCCCUGACUCACACUUUCCCCGUAUUUGUGCCAGGCACCGGUAAAUUCGAGACUGUGUUUUCCGGAGGCUUUGGGCUUCCCACGCAGCGAGGGAAACACUACACUGAGACUCAGAGUGUAGCGGGAAGAGGCACUGGGGGAUCUUUAUGCUCAGAGAGAACCUCGAGCUUCUUUCCAACCGAGUGAAAGAUGAUAAAUCACACGUGAACCUGAAAGCCUUCUUAAUGUGCGUGUCAGAUGAUAAAAUCACCGAUAAUUCAACGAGGCGCUCAUCACAAAUAUGCUUGAGAAGACGCCUCUGAGACCCAGCCAGCUUUUUCAAAUCCACGAAGUCAGAAGUCAGUUUAACCCCAUAAAGGAAGGUCAGAGGCUACAAAAGAUCCCAAAGGCUGCAGGAGUGUCUUCUGGCCGCAGCACUUACCAGAUCCUCGAAGCAUUUCAUUAGGAAACGAGAAGCCUUCUCAGAUGCCCCCAGGAGACCUCCGGAGGGGCUGAUUCACAGGUGUUGCCCAGCGAGGACAGAAGCCCCUGCCAGACCCAGAGGGAGCAAGGCUGAGGGCUGUGCACUUUGGAUAAAGGUGAGGGGCCCUGCUCCUGGAAGCGGCAGCUGCACACAGCCCCUUGCACCCAGCUGAACACAUGCUUUGGACUCACUCCCGCACAUCAGCUCUCUGCACCGUCCUUAGUCAGGAGAAAAUACAAAACCCAAGGGUCUGAAAACCGGAGUUCUCUGGCCCCAAUCUGUCCCCAGGCAGGUUCCGAGACCCUUCUCUGUGCCCGAUUCGGUGUCACGUCCAAAAAAAGUUACAGCAGAAAACAGUCGACCCAGCACUUUGUUCAAGAAGUGAAGAAAUGACAGAGGACGGCAUGUGAGGCUGUUAGAGCUCAGGGGUGUAGACGACAGCCAGAGUGAUGGGAGUUGGGGUGCGGGAAGGGGAAAGGGUUGCACAGAAGCCUCCAAACCUGCCUCCGGGAGACCUGCCCGCGAUGUGGCUCCCCUGGCACACAGCCCUGUGUUUUGGAGUCGGGGGACCGCUCCCCUGCUGGAGAAUAUACUCACGUGUUUGCAAACUAGCUACGCCCUGGGCCUGGCUGGGGGCAGCUCCAUUGCUUCCCGAUCCCUCUCCUCCAGCUCCGUGGCCUGCGAGAACCCCAGAAAACGCCGAGGCCACAGCUGCCGCCCCGGAAACCCACCCCGUCGCCCUGCUCAGAGGCUGCCUCUAUUUUUAGCAGAAACAGGCCUCUGCAGGUGGCCCCGGUGGCCCCAAAUCCAGAGGGCCUGGGGCCCUGGUACGAAGCGGGGUUUGGAAGCAGAGAGGAGGAACACGCUCAGCUCACGAGGCACUGCCGAGCCGUCUUCCCAAGCGGCCUGUGGUUCAGCCUCCUGCUGGCCGUGGAGAGUUCCGGAUUCCCCGCGUCCUACCCGCCUGGAGAGGCAGCGUGUUAGCCGUUGGCUUCCACGGGCCCCCUGAUCUGUGGCAUCGGCUGCAGCGGCCAUCAGCAGCUAGCACACCCCACGGCCUCUGCAGCCAUCGACCUCGGCAACCAUCGCUGCCCACGGAUCGCCCCCCAGCCUCCAGGCCCCCCAGCACCUCCUCCCCGGCCCACAUGUGCCCCUCCCCCGGCAGCCCCUGCUGUCCAGCCUGGCGUCGGAGAGCAGGGCUGGGCAGCUUGGGGGAUAACACUCGGUCUCUGUAGGAAACAAUGUCAAUGAACUGGCUCUGGGGGGAGAGUUUAAUAAAGGGUCAAUUUAUAAGGGUGUGGGCAGGGUUUAGGGGAGCCAAUGGAAUAGUGGGUGCCCUGCCCUGCUGGCUGGAGGGGCCAGAGGAAGGGAGCAGGUGCUGCGGCCUGGAGAUGUUGUGUGGAGACAGCUAUGGCAGGGACCUGCCCCCAGCUCAGGGAUGCGGCCACCUGCGGCCACCCACAGGGGCGAUGUCUCGACAUCUCUCUCCUCCCAGGGACGUGGCGUGUGCUGGGCAGGCCCUGGGCACAGAGCAGGGCAGGGGAGGGCAGGGGAGACUCCCGCACACUCCCUGCGACCUGGAGAGUGUGGGCUGACGGGCCGUGGUGGCGAGGGAAGGGCUCAGGGCUGCGUGUGCUCGGCCCCGAGGCCCUGGCCCUGCUCUCCUUAGCGUGACAGCCUCAUUCCUGAGGACAGAAAGGGCUUUUGCACUGCCCUGAAAAUGCUCACUUCUUCCAGCUGCUUAUGACGUGAUGGUUGACGCACCCUGGACUGAUAGACGGUUAAGGAACAAGAGCCUGUGAGGAGCCCAGCACUCAGCCUGAUGUUAGAAAUGAACGGAAGGCAACAGGACGUGCAGCCACGUUCCCAGGGAUGUGCUCGUCAGGAAGCUCGCCGGACCACCCUGCCCCUGCUCCUCCAACCACUGUCGGCUUUGGUUUCGCUCUGUGUAAAAUGGGAAUUCGAUGCCCAUAUCCUGCAGGAUUUUAGCUGUGAUUAAACAAGAUUGCAUUUAUCAAACACGCCUGAAAUACAGUUGGUGCUCAAUGACCAGCAGGUAUUAUCAUCAUCGUUCCAGAACAAGUUCAUGUGUUAAAUCCAAAGCCCAGAAUUUGCAAGGAUUUAAGAUCCUAGUGGGAGGAAAUGGACGGUUCCAAACGUGGUCCAAGAGGCCAAAGUGGCAGCACGAUUGUUCGUUUCCCAGUGAUGCUGAGAAGAACCCGAUCCACAUGGCGCUCGUGUGAACCUGCAGGGAUUGUCCUCACUACAGUGUCUGAGAGCCGAGCGGGUGCUGAUGGGGGAGGACGUCUCCUUUACACACGUGUAGGUCAUGCCUUGCACACACUCCUGUGUGUGUAAAAUACACGGGAGCUCACGCACUAACCGUGCAAAUCUGAAUGCCUGUUGGCGGCGAGGGAGAGCCACGCUCCUUCCCGACGGAGGCUGCAGCUUGAAACCUUAGCCUUUGUAGUCAGGGCACACAGAAUCGUAUUCUAGAAAAAGGUUUAUGGCAGAAGCUAAUAGGAUUUUGAAGGGUUGUUUUCUGUCUUGCUUUUUUUUGGUAACUGAAGCGUAUUGUGAUUCUGCUGGCAUCUGGGUUUGGGCUCCUGAACAAGUAGGAACAGCACAUUCUGGCUUCUAUGUGGCCCUGGGGCUCUGCAGGGAAUUCUCCAAGAGGUUUCUCAGCUGCAGGGAGCCUGUCGCCCCUCAGCACCACAGUCUCCUCAGGCAGCAGCCCAUCCGAGGAGCGGCCUGAUGCAAGUCUCGCUCACAACCUCCAGUUCCUCAGGAAUCAAAGUGCUGUGUGUGCACCUGUGCCUCGGCAGCCCCGAGGCUUGUUAAACCUGCAGAACGUCAGGCCUCACCUCAGACCCUCUGCAUCAGAACCUGCAUUUGAACAAGAUCCCCAGUGAUUCCAGGCUCACCGCGAGGGCCGGCUCUGGCUCACCCGGAUCUUUGCGGAGAUGCUAGAUGCCGACUUCCCUGCUCACUGCCCUCCGCGUCGGCCAGGACUGGAGCUUGGCACCCACGAUACCCGAUGCGACUUACGUCCCUGCCGGCCUUCUGAGGUGAUUCCGACUCUCCACUUGGCUCCACGAUGGACGAGACCUCCACACCUCAUGCUGCAGGGGCCCCCCGGUGCUGGGGUCUUGCCAGGGGGUCCCAGGCUCUUGGACGUACCAUAACACUUUGGGGGAACAUUAACUUCCUUCCUUCCUGACUCCACCUGGAAACUAUUCCAGUCCUCAGGGCUUUGGUCUCCGUUGCCCUUUGCCUCCCUCUAGUUUAGUAAUUUUCAUAUCUCUAAAACGGGUUAAGGAAAAGCACCAUUUCCUCGUAGCCAGCCCUCUUGUACAGCAAAGUCUUGUGAAACGUGAAGAUGAAGCCCUCAAAUAAUUUCUCAUAUAAAUCUGAUAUUUCAUACAAGAUUUUUGGAAAAUCUAGCAUUACUUGAAGUUUCGUUUGGGGACAGGGUUCCCAUUUGAUUCUAACUACAAUGAAUGCUGAAUCAUUGCCUUUUAUAAUAUCCUUUAUCUGGCCUGGUGAAUUAGGAUCCAUGUGAGGUGUGUGGAGGGUAGCAUGUCACCAAAAGCAGUGCAAGUAUUCCACAAGUAUGAGAUGGGACGAAAUAAAUCAAACAACUGUUUGCAGGCACUGGCCAGCAGGUGCUCAGGGCAGAUCCUGAGAGGAGGCAGAUGGGGCAAGACCCAGGCUCGCUCUUCCUUUAGCCUGGGUGCAUGGGUUACAGCAGAGCAGAGAGAUGGAGCCCAGAUGGCAAGGCAACCUCAGCGAACUGAGGAGACAGAGAUGAGGGUUCAGGGUGGCUGUGGAGGCUAGAAUUUAGGGGGGAAAUAUGAAGAAGAAGGAUCUGUAUAAAUGCCGAAUACACAUGCACAAGCCUAGCAGAGGACAGCUCCCGAGGGCUGUGAGUUGCGGGGACUGCAGAUGCCACCCAAGGCUGAGAGGUGUUGGAAUUCCAGCUAGCAGGCAGGAGAGGCUGCACUGCGAGCUCUGGGAGUUCAGAGACCCAGGAAGUUCACACCUUAGACCUAGAAUAAGGGCUGCUCUAACCCUAGAAUAAGGGCCACUCUAGAAGUGCCCAACAAAGCUAAAAGAUAACUCUCAAAAGGGUCCAGGAUAUUCAUACAUAAAAAAACUUCAAAAUAAAUUUGCCCAACUUAACAAAAGACAACAAAAUCUAGACCUUCAACAACUUGGCAUCCACAAUGAUCAGAAUAUGAUAAAAAUAUUUUACUUAGACAUGUGCAUAAGCCAGCAAAUUUGACCCAUCGUCAGGAGAAAAACCAGCCAACAGAAACAGGCCCAGAAAUUAUAGAGAUGCUGGAAUUUGCUUACAAAACAGCUAUUAUAAAUGUGCCAAAGAUUUAAAGGAAAAUAUGACCAUAACAAGGGAACAGGUACAAAGUAAAAAAUAAUCAAAUGGAAAUUCUCGAACUAAAAACUAGAAUACAUGCAUUACAAAUUCAAUAGAUGCACUUAAUCAUUUGGACACUGCAGAAUAAAGUAUCAGUGAACUUGAAAACAGGGAACAGAAACCAUACAACUGAGGCACAGAAGGUAAAAAUGCAGAAAAAAAUGAACAGAGCUUCAAUGAAUUGUGGAACAAUAUCAGGUGGUCUAACAUAUGUAUAAUUAGAGUUCCAGAAAGAGAGGAGGGAGAAAGAUGGUGGGAGAGAAAUUAAUUUAAAAUUAAUGACCAAAACUUUUCAAAAUUUGGUGGAAAAUAUCAAUCCUCAGAUUCAAGAAGCUCAGUGAACUCUAGGCAAAACAAACACAAGGCCAUACACAGGGAUAUCAUUAAAAUUGCUGAAAACUGAAUAUAAAGAGAAAAUCUUGAAAGCAGACAGAGAAAAAAGACACAUUACAUACAAUGGAACAGCGAAAAGUUACUGCUCACUAUGCACGAGAAACAGGGCAAUGAAGAAGAAAACGAAACAUCUUUCGAGUGCUAAGACAAUGACAAAAAAGUCAAAAUGGAAUUCUUUAUCCAGAGAUUAUCUUUCAAAAUUAAGAUGAAAUAAGGACUCUAUCUUUGAUAAACCAAAAGUUGUAAAAAUGCAUCACCAGUGGACCUGAAGUGCAAGAAAAGUUGAAGUCUAUUCUUCAGACUAAAGGAAAAUGAUCCCAGAUAGAACCUGGGAGAUAUAUGAAGGACUGGUGAGUGCCAACUAUAGUAGAUAUGAGUAUAUAGAAAAUAUUUUAUCUCACUCUUAAUUGCUUAAAAUUUUUAAAUGACUGCUUAAAACAAAAAUUUAAAAAUCCAUUUUGCAGCUUACAACAUAUAUAGAAAUAAAAUAUAAGACAAUAAUAGCACAAUGGUCUUAGUGAGGUUCUUAUCCUAUAGAUGAAGUGAUAUAAUGGUGAUACAGAGUAAGCUGUGGUAAGUUAAAGAUGCAUUUUAUAAACCAUAGAGCACACAUUAAGAAAUAAAACAAAGAGGUAGUUUAACAAGACAGUAGAGGAGGAAAAAUUAUUUACCAACAGUCUUUGAUUAAU